AGCGCUGUUGGUCCUUGCGACACCAAGAGAUCACCGUUCCUUCGUUAUUUGCGGUGUACAAAUGAUGGCCAUCACACGAAAAGGGACAGCAAUUAUACCUGGAGAGCAUGAGGCUUCAGUAAAAACUCUGACCAUCUGACCUGAUCCUUAGCCUGAAGAGGAAAUUACAAUGGAGAGGAUACUGCCCAUUAUGCUGCAGGGAGGAGGAAAUUAUAAAAGGGGACCAGCAGUUUACAAGCACAGAUCAGCGAGCUAGAAGUGACAGAGGAGAAAAUGGACUGAGGCUGUUAUCUCUGGGCAGGAUCAACUGGGAGAAAAGAGCAAAAGCGACUUGAAGCUUGCAAGGGAUCAACAUUUGAAGAAAAGGUAUGCAGAAAGAGAAGGUAAUGCAGGAAAAUACUUUUUGCUCUUCCUUCUCUGGAUCUUGGUGAAUGAGCUUUGAUAGCUGUCUUAAUGAAACCCAGAUUUCAGGAACUACGCAUAAGUAAACAUUAAACAGCUUGUCCCCAAUAAAAAUAUAUUGGGGCUAUGUUUGUUUUCAAUAAAAGAAUGUUACAAGUUA